CUACGGGUUGCUGCAGUGGGGAAUAUUGGACAAUGGGGGAAACCCUGAUCCAGCAAUGCCGCGUGUGUGAAGAAGGCCUGCGGGUUGUAAAGCACUUUCGGUUGGGAGGACUGCUUCUAGCACUAAUAUUGUUGGAAGUUGACGUUACCUUCAGAAGAAGCACCGGCUAACUCCGUGCCAGCAGCCGCGGUAAUACGGAGGAGUGGCAAGCGUUAAUCGGAAUUACUGGGCGUAAAGCGCGCGUAGGCGGCUAGAUCAGUCGGGUGUGAAAGCCCCGGGCUUAACCUGGGAACUGCAUCCGAUACUGUCUAGCUUGAGUACAGGAGAGGAGAGUGGAAUUCCACAUGUAGCGGUGAAAUGCGUAGAUAUGUGGAGGAACACCAAUGGCGAAGGCAGCUCUCUGGCCUGAUACUGACGCUGAGGUGCGAAAGCGUGGGGAGCAAACAGGAUUAGAUACCCGGGUAGUC
rnacentral:rRNA from 1 species